CCUACGGGCGGCUGCAGUGAGGAAUAUUGGUCAAUGGACGAGAGUCUGAACCAGCCAAGUAGCGUGAAGGAUGACUGCCCUAUGGGUUGUAAACUUCUUUUAUAUGGAAAUAAAAUGUUCCACGUGUGGGAUUUUGUAUGUACCAUAUGAAUAAGGAUCGGCUAACUCCGUGCCAGCAGCCGCGGUAAUACGGAGGAUCCGAGCGUUAUCCGGAUUUAUUGGGUUUAAAGGGAGCGUAGGUGGAUUGUUAAGUCAGUUGUGAAAGUUUGCGGCUCAACCGUAAAAUUGCAGUUGAAACUGGCAGUCUUGAGUACAGUAGAGGUGGGCGGAAUUCGUGGUGUAGCGGUGAAAUGCUUAGAUAUCACGAAGAACUCCGAUUGCGAAGGCAGUUCACUGAACUGCAACUGACACUGAGGCUCGAAAGUGUGGGUAUCAAACAGGAUUAGAUACCCGUGUAGUC
rnacentral:rRNA from 1 species